GCGUGGCGGGAUUCGGGGUCGGCUCGGUCUGGAUGAACAUGGGAUGCUCCUGGCCUACCGGGGUUCAAGGCCCCGGCGACGUG
rnacentral:tRNA from 1 species